GAAACGCUGGCGGCGUGCUUAACACAUGCAAGUUGAACGGUCCGGCAUGGAAGCUUGCUGAAGUGUCGGGUAGUAGCGGACGGGUGAGUAAUGCAUGAGAAGCUGCCAUUGGGAGGGGGACAACAGUUGGAAACGGCUGCUAAUACCCCAUAUGCCGGAAGGUGAAACGGAGUGAUCCGCCCGAUGAGGUGCUCAUGUCCUAUCAGCUAGUUGGUGAGGUAACGGCUCACCAAGGCGACGACGGGUAGCCGGCCUGAGAGGGUGACCGGCCACACUGGAACUGAGAUACGGUCCAGACUCCUACGGGAGGCAGCAGUGGGGAAUAUUGGGCAAUGGGGGCAACCCUGACCCAGCGACGCCGCGUGAGGGAAGACGGCCUUCGGGUUGUAAACCUCUUUUGUACGGGAAGAAGGACGUGACGGUACCGUGCGAAUAAGUCCCGGCUAACUACGUG
rnacentral:rRNA from 1 species